rnacentral:rRNA from 1 species
AUGGCUCGAGCUCGAGUUGUUGCAGUGGUGCUGCUGGCGGUCGGCAGUUUGCUGCUGUCUGCGGCUGCGGACACCGCAACUGCGCCAUCCCCGCAACCGUUCGUCUGGCAGAAGGCGCAUGCAACGUUCUAUGGUGGUGCUGAUGCCUCUGACACAAUGGGUGGCGCAUGCGGGUACGGCAACCUCUUCGCUGAAGGUUACGGGACGCGUACGGUGGCUCUGAGCACCGUGUUGUUCAAUGACGGCGCCGCGUGCGGGCAGUGCUACAAGAUAGCAUGCGACCGCAAGCGCGCGGACCCAUUGUUUUGCAAGCCUGGUGUGACGGUCACCGUCACGGCCACGAACUUUUGCCCGCCCAACGAUGCCCUCCCCAAUGACAACGGCGGCUGGUGCAACACGCCAAGGCCGCACUUCGACAUGGCCCAGCCGGCCUGGGAGAAGAUUGGUGUUUAUAAAGGUGGCAUCAUCCCCGUCAUGUACCAAAGAGUUCCGUGCGUGAAGCGGGGUGGUGUGAGGUUCAGAAUCAAUGGUCACGAUUACUUCAAUCUUGUGCUUGUGAGCAAUGUUGCUGCAGCAGGCUCGAUCAAAUCCAUGGAUGUCAAUAGCUCUGACUCUGAAGACUAG